CCUACGGGCGGCAGCAGUGAGGAAUAUUGGUCAAUGGACGAGAGUCUGAACCAGCCAAGUAGCGUGAAGGAUGACUGCCCUAUGGGUUGUAAACUUCUUUUAUAAAGGAAUAAAACGAGGCACGUGUGCCUUUUUGCAUGUACUUGAUGAAUAAGGAUCGGCUAACUCCGUGCCAGCAGCCGCGGUAAUACGGAGGAUCCGAGCGUUAUCCGGAUUUAUUGGGUUUAAAGGGAGCGUAGAUGGGUUGUUAAGUCAGUUGUGAAAGUUUGGGGCUCAACCGUAAAAUUGCAAUUGAUACUGGAAGUCUUGAGUACAGUUGAGGUAGGCGGAAUGCGUGGUGUAGCGGUGAAAUGCUUAGAUAUCACGAAGAACCCCGAUUGCGAAGGCAGCUUACUAAACUGUGACUGACAUUGAUGCUCGAAAGUGUGGGUAUCAAACAGGAUUAGAUACCCCAGUAGUC
rnacentral:rRNA from 1 species